AGGUCUGAUCAUUACCUGGCCAGUCGCUGCUCUAAGAAAUGGUACCGUUCCUCUCUGAGGCUUCCUCCAAAGAGCUCUCCAACUCCAGGAACCAGAAGAUCAACAGCAGCAACCUAAAAAGGAAAAAACUAUAAACAAUCUCACACGUUCAGAGGAUUCCAACAAUUGUCAGCUUCUCAAGCAAGUGGAACUUUUAACAUUUUGGCGACUGGCUAUUUAACUGCUUACCAGAAUAUUAUUUAUGUUAUCUGUUGACGUGGUUUCAAAAUCAUAUUUUUAAUAUAAUCUUUAGAAUAAAUGAUACAGAAAUUGUGGACAGUUACCUCUCCUUUCUUGCACCAUGUAUGCAAUGUAUUUAAAUGUGUUUUCUUCACAAAUGUGGUAUGUUAAUUAUAAAAAAUGUGACAAAAAAUGUGGCAAGUAUUAAAAAUUAUGAGAUAUUAAAAAUCACCUAUCACCAUGCAGAAUA
rnacentral:lncRNA from 1 species